UACGGAGGAUGCGAGCGUUAUCCGGAUUUAUUGGGUUUAAAGGGUGCGUAGGCGGACUGUUAAGUCAGCGGUAAAAGCCCGGGGCUCAACCCCGGCGAGCCGUUGAAACUGGCUGUCUUGAGAUGUCGAGAGGUAUGCGGAAUGCGCAGUGUAGCGGUGAAAUGCUUAGAUAUUGCGCAGAACUCCGAUUGCGAAGGCAGCUUACCAGUCUGCGACUGACGCUCAGGCACGAAAGUGUGGGUAUCGAACAGG
rnacentral:rRNA from 1 species